rnacentral:rRNA from 1 species
UACGUAGGGUCCGAGCGUUGUCCGGAAUUACUGGGCGUAAGAGCUCGUAGGUGGUUUGUCGCGUUGUUCGUGAAAACUCACAGCUUAACUGUGGGCGUGCGGCGAUACGGGCAGACUAGAGUACUGCAGGGAGACUGGAAUUCCUGGUGUAGCGGUGGAAUGCGCAGAUAUCAGGAGGAACACCGGUGGCGAAGGCGGGUCUCUGGGCAGUAACUGACGCUGGAGGAGCGAAAGCGUGGGGAGCGAACAGG